rnacentral:rRNA from 1 species
GGUUUGAUUAUGGCUCAGAUUGAACGCUGGCGGGAUGUUUUACACAUGCAAGUCGAACGGCAGCACGGACUUCGGUCUGGUGGCGAGUGGCGAACGGGUGAGUAAUGUAUCGGAACGUGCCUAGUAGCGGGGAUAACUACGCGAAAGCGUAGCUAAUACCGCAUAUUGCCCUUCGGGGGAAAGCGGGGGGACCUUCGGGCCUCGCACUAUUAGAGCGGCCGAUAUCGGAUUAGCUAGUUGGUGGGGUAACGGCUCACCGCGACGAUCCGUAGCUGGUUUGAGAGGACGACCAGCCACACUGGGACUGAGACACGGCCCAGACUCCUACGGGAGGCAGUGCAGUGGGGAAUUUUGGACAAUGGGAAACUCCUGAUCUUGUGCCUAUCCCGCGUGUGCGAUGAAGGCCUUCGGGUUGUAAAGCACUUUUGGCAGGAAAGAAACGGCACGGAUAAUACCCCGUGCAACUGACGGUACUGCAGAAUAAGCACCGGGCCAAUUGCCGCGCCACAGCAGCCGCGGUAAUACGUAGGGUGCAAGCGUUAUUAAUCGGAAUUACCGGGCGUAAGCGUGCGCAGGCGGUUCGAAAAAGAAAGACGUGAAAUCCCAGAGCUUAACUUUGGAAAUCCGCAUUUUUAACUACCGAGCUUUAGAGUGUGUCAGAGGGAGGUGGAAUUCCGCGUGUAGCAGUGAAAUGCGUAGAUAUGCGGAGGAACACCGAUGGCGAAGGCAGCCUCCUGGGAUAACACUGACGCUCAUGCACGAAAGCGUGGGGAGCAAACAGGAUUAGAUACCCCGGUAGUCCACGCCCUAAACGAUGUCAACUAGCUGUUGGGGCCUUCUGGCCUUUCGGUAGCGCAGCUAACGCGUGAAGUUGACCGCCUGGGGAGUACGGUCGCAAGAUUAAAACCUCAAAGGAAUUGACGGGGGACCCGCACAAGCGGUGGAUGAUGUGGAUUAAUUCGAUGCAACGCGAAAAACCUUACCUACCCUUGACAUGUCUGGAAUCCCGAAGAGAUUGGAGUGCUCGCAAGAGAACCGGAACACAGGUGUUGCAUGGCUGUCGUCAGCUCGUGUCGUGAGAUGUUGUUAAGUCCCGCAACGAGCGCAACCCUUGUCAUUAGUUGCUACGAAAAGGGCACUCUAUCGAGACUGCCGGUGACAAACCGGAGGAAGGUGGGGAUGACGUCAAGUCCUCAUGGCCUCGAAGGGUAGGGUCAAUAUCGUCAUACAAUGGUCGGGACAGAGGGUCGCCAACCCGCGAGGGGAGCCAAUCCCAGAAACCCGAUCGUAGUCCGGAUCGCAGUCUGCAACUCGACUGCGAAGUCGGAAUCGCCAGUAAUCGCGGAUCAGCAUGUCGCGGUGAAAUACGCCCGGCCUUACACACCGCCCGUCACACCAUGGGAGUGGGUUUUACCAGAAGUAGUUAGCCUAACCGUAAGGAGGGCGAUUACCACGGUAGGAUUCAUGACUGGGGUGAAGUCGUAACAAGCGUAA